AUCCCACGGACCCGGAUGCAGAUAAAGGCGCAGGAAGGAACCGCGGCGCGGCUGGCGGGCGCUGCGCAUGCGCGCUGCCCAUAGAACUCCUGAGGCUGUUUUGGCUAUCCUGGAUGCCUUGCAUUUCCAUGUGAAUUUCAGGAUCAGCUUUACCAUUUCUGGAAAAAAAAAGGCCAUUGGAAUUUUAUAGUAAUUAUGCUGAAUAUAUGGAUCAAUUGGAGGAGGAGGUGGAUGCAAAGGAGUUGGAGGAAGAGGAGAAAGAGGAAGACUUUGGGUAACUGUGAUGGGAGCUAAUUUUUACCAUUACAGUACCAGACAUUGCCUGCCGGAUAUAUCACAUCCAAGGGAAGCCGUGGAAAGGACCCCACACACCAGAGCCAGAAGAAACACCCGCAGCUCCUGAAUAUACUUGCAAGGCACUGGAAGAUCUGAAAUUCCUCUUUAAGUGAAAAGAUAAGUAAUGCUUAUUCACCUCAAAGUAAGGUGAUCCCAAUGUCAGGAAUUUUACUUGCAAUUGCUCUGAUUGUUAUCAUUAUUUUAACCCCAACCUGUACACCACCAGAAGUUUCAGCAGCAGCUUGCUUUGUGACCAAUUUCUCUCUUUUACAAUCACCAUUGGUCGCUGUUGGUCUGCUCCUGCUGGUUCUCAUACUCACCACUUUAUGAGUAGCACACUACCAUCUUGAUUUCCCAUGAGAAAAAGCUUGGCAAUUGAUCGAAAGCACAAGAUUCCCUUCCCCACCAAUUGCUGGUUAUGUAUGAGCUCUUCUACUAAAACACCGGAGAGAGCUUAUCCAGCCUCGCCCAGAGACUGGACAAGCAUACAGGUGGAAUUACAUAGUUUCUAUCAAUGAGACCUAAUUUGAAAAGGAGGUUUGGACCUGCAAAUAGUCUUGCAAAAGUAAAGCAAGAUUUCAUUGGUAUCUGCAUGGAACCUCCCAUUUUUGGGCUCAUCUUUUCUAAGAUCGAUUUAAUGGCAGUAGCCUCUAUUUGUGUUAUAACCAAAAGCAAAAAUGUAAAGAAUGUAGGCACUCUUCCAUGUACAUGUUCUAACAGUACAGUUUGUAAUGUUACUUUCACUGUAGAGCCUAACCAACAGACAUACCAAGCAUAUACCCAUAGCCAAUUCUACCAUCAACCAAGAUUCUCCAAACCUCCAGAUAUUACCUUUCCUUGGGGAACUUUGCUAGAUAAGUCCACUCAAUUUUGUCAGGGAUGCCCAAUCUCAUGCAGUACUCAAAAUUUCUGGUUCCAGCCUGCUGAUUAUAACGAAUAGCUGCAAAUUGUCAAUCUCAGCUCCACAGCAGAAUGGAUCCUAUUAGACGAAACCCAAAAUUCUCUUUUUUGGGAAAAUAAAAUCAAGGGAUCCAAACAAAGCCAAACCUCAUGCAUCAAAGUAUUAGCAGGCAAAACUAUAGCCACCAACUACCUUGGUGUGUCAGCAGUCUUGGAACUUUUUGGAACCUCCCUCACCGCCUUAUUUUAACAUUCCUACUUCUCUUAAAACCCAAGGAGACUUCUAUAUUUGUGGCUACUUAGUUCGCCAAUGCCUCCCUGCUAGCUGGACUGGAACUUGUACCAUAGGCUAUGUAUCCCUGGACGUCUUUAUGGGCCCUGGUAAUCUCUCUUUUACAGUACCAGUCUGUGAGCAUUCCAUCUUGCCCAGGAAGGCUAUCCAAUUAAUUUCCCUCUCCUUCUCAUGAGACUCAGCAUUAUAACCAAUACAAGAACUGGAAUUACUGGAAUCACAAAACCCUCCUUAACCUAUAGCCAGCUCUCAAAGGAAAUAGCCAACAACACUGAUGCCAUGGCUAAAACCUUAACAACCAUGCAAGAACAAAUCAACUCUUUAGCAGCUGAAGUCCUCCAAAAUCGUCGAGGACUAGAUACCUUAACGGCAGCACAGGGAAGACUUUGUUUAGCCUUAUAUGAAAAAUACUGCUUUUGAGUAAAUCAAUUGGGAAAAGUACAAGACAACAUCAGACAACUCCUAAAUCAAGCCUCCAGUUUAUGGGAACAAGCCUCUCAAGUUGGCUAAAUUGGGAAGGAACCUGGAAAUGGUUCUCCUGGUUUCUUCCAUUUUUAGGACCACUUGUUGGUCUACUUUUGCUCUUUUUUGUUCAUGUCCUCUAAAUCUAAUAACCCGCUUUGGCUCCUCUUACCUUCAGGCCAUCAAGCUCUAGAUAAUCUUCAGUGAAGGAUACUUGCUUUCAAUAUGCAAGAACCACCCUUCUACAGAGGACCCCUAGAGUGCCCAUCAGUGGGAUACGACAGAAGGGACAUUCUGCCCCUGUCUCCCUGGGACCGGGCUGGAUACUGCUUUCACCAACCCACAAUGCCAUCCUGCCCUGAGAGCUAGCAAGAGGCUAAGACCUGCUGAACAACCACCACCACCUCUCUGUCAGCAGGAAGCAGUUACAGAAGACUGAUAUACAUUCAGUUUCCCAAAAUAAUUGGGCUCUUAGACUCCUGCGGGUGGAAAUGUUACAGAAGGUAGCUAGUCAGACAUGAGCAGAGUAGGAGAGCCCCCGACCCCCACCAGAAAUGUCAAGCAACCAUCAAGUAAUGAUCACAUGGUAUUAAACUGUCUUUCUAAAAUAAAAACUGGUCGCAGCCAGCGGCACCAGGGAAAGGCAGUCUUCCAACAGAUAAAAAGACCUGCAACUAGUGAUCAGCAGCUUCUCCAUAAGAUCUCAGGAGUUGGGUGAGUCAGCUCAAUUCAAGCUUGUGCAUUAACAUGCAAACUGGUGGACUUUAACUGGUAUAUAACCUUCCAGGGACAUUUGAUUAGUAAGGGAAGAAUGCCUCAAGUGAGCAUGCUUACAACUCCUGUAAACACACUGCACAUGCAUCCCAUCCCUAGUGCUAGCAGGCCACUGUACAUCUAGACAGCCUAUCCCAAGGGAAGAAUCAGGAAGAGACACAAGACUGCAAAAGCAUGCCAACUUAGAAAACCUUAAGUCAAGGGCUAAACUGGGCACUUGAUCUCUCAAGUUGCCCACUUGGCCUCUUACAAGUGUAGUUUACUUCCUUCUGUUCCUGCUCUAACUUGUUAAUAAACUUUUACUCCUGCUCUAAGAUUUGCAUCGAUCUCACACUGUGCCUUAUGCCCCUCGGUCGAACUCUUUCUUCUGAAGAGGCAAGAACUGAGGCUGCUGCA